rnacentral:rRNA from 1 species
AUUGAACGCUGGCGGCAUGCCUUACACAUGCAAGUCGAACGGUAACAGGUUAAGCUGACGAGUGGCGAACGGGUGAGUAAUAUAUCGGAACGUGCCCAGUCGUGGGGGAUAACGUAGCGAAAGCUACGCUAAUACCGCAUACGAUCUAUGGAUGAAAGCGGGGGAUCGCAAGACCUCGCGCGAUUGGAGCGGCCGAUAUCAGAUUAGCUAGUUGGUGAGGUAAAGGCUAACCAAGUCGACGAUCUAUAGCUGGUCUGAGAGGACCACCAGCCACACGGGAGCUGAGACACGGUCCAGGCUGCUACGGGAGGCAGCAGUGGGGAAUUUUGGAGAAUGGGCGAAAGCCUGAUUCAGCAAUGCCGGGUGCAGGACGAGCGCCUUCGGGUUGUAAACUGCUUUUGUACGGAGCGAAACGGGCUUCUCUAAUACAGGGGGCUAAUGACGGUACCGUAAGAAUAAGCACCGGCUAACUACGUGCCAGCCGCCGCAGUAA